rnacentral:rRNA from 1 species
GAUGAACGCUAGCGGGAGGCUUAACACAUGCAAGUCGAGGGGUAUAGUAGCAAUACUAGAGACCGGCGCACGGGUGAGUAACGCGUAUGCAACCUGCCCUUUACAGGAGGAUAGCCCGCUGAAAGGCGGAUUAAUACUGCAUAAUAUGGUACAAUCGCAUGGUUGAACCAUAAAAGCUGAGGCGGUAAAGGAUGGGCAUGCGUGACAUUAGCUAGUUGGCGGGGUAACGGCCCACCAAGGCUACGAUGUCUAGGGGUUCUGAGAGGAAGGUCCCCCACACUGGUACUGAGACACGGACCAGACUCCUACGGGAGGCAGCAGUGAGGAAUAUUGGUCAAUGGGCGCGAGCCUGAACCAGCCAUCCCGCGUGCAGGAAGACGGCCCUAUGGGUUGUAAACUGCUUUUGUGCAGGAAGAACGUACAGAUCGUGAUUUGUAGUGACGGUACUGCAUGAAUAAGCACCGGCUAACUCCGUGCCAGCCGCCGCUGUAAAAC